UCUCUCUCUCGUCAUCAGUCUCCCGGGGUACUCGUAACAGUCGCGGCCAUCUGUGUCUCGACGGUUCGGGCUACGGAAUGUCGAAACAUCGGCCGAUACGGAACGCCGAAACGGCGUACCCGACCCGUUGUACGCCCGCCAUGUACGCGCGAACGUUGCGGCCAACCAACGGGGGUUACGUUUUGCAAUCGCGAGUGUUGUCGUUCGACGACCGUUUCGUUUCUCACUAUGCUCCCGUAGUAUCCCG